GGGUUGUUAAAAUUAAAACAUCAUAUACUGAAAAUAAUAAUUAAGUCAUUGAUAUAAGAAGAUUAUAUUAAUUUUAAUUCCAAUAUAUCUGUCGUAUAACACAUACAUCAUGAUUUUGGAAUUAGCUAAUUAAAGUUUAUUCCAAUAGUUCACCCCUCGUAUCCCUUGAUCGAAAAAAAAAAAGCAUCAAAUGGGGAGGAAAGUAGAGUGAUAAUACUCCAGCAAAUUAAAGCUUUGGGUAGUUCUUAGGUCAUCCUUUGUGCAGAAAUAGAGACGUUCGUCAUGUAUUAGUACCCUUAUAUAUUUCCAGCAUGCAUCAUUUCUUCAAGUCUGAGCCGCUCUUUAACUUGAGAAAUAUAGCUUGUAGCCUUUGCAUCAACGUUCUUGUCAUCGCCGACAACACCAUAAACUUUGCUUUCAGCAGGUUUCACAAAUAAGUUAGCUGCUGGCUUUGUGAAAAUAACCUUUUGUGUUGUCUCAACUUUGUUAUUUUUAACAGUUUUACCAAAAGACAUGGCGAGUUUUUUUGUCAUGAAGCCCCCUUGCUUGCUGCUUCUUUCAACCUGCAUCAUUUUUCUGAAUCAAGAAACUGAGUGAAAUUGCUGGUAUUGAUGAUGAUGAUGAUGGUGAUGAAGCAGCUAGCAAUACCACACUUAUAUAGGCCAAUGAAAAGGUAGCUUAACCGCAAAAUUAUUUAAACUAGAAGCAUCGUCCAAAGUGGAGUAUUUUUGUUUUCUUGUUUUCAGAUAGAAG
rnacentral:lncRNA from 1 species